rnacentral:misc_RNA from 1 species
AACGCAAAUUGCGCCCGAGGUUUAGGCCAAGGGCAUGGCUGGCUCAGCGUCGACGCACCUCUCGCUCACAGGGUGGGCGGACUGUGGUUCCCCCGACUGCCGGCCGGGCGGACCGAAGGAGAAGGCCCUCGGAAGCCUUCGUGGCCCGCAGGCAGCGCGGUAGACCAGCUUAAUCGGCGGCCCUGCCGGGACUGCCGUCAAGCGGGAGCAAACUGGGGGGGCGGGAUCGGGGAUGGAGGGAUCAUGCAGCAGCACAUUUCGCCCGGGGCUCGGGCAAGAGCACCCGCCGAACUUAA